GGUUCUUAUUGGCUGAUCUCUUCAGACCAGGGAGGCGGCAGCAUGGAGCAUGACGGAGGACGUUUCAGAGGAGAGAGCACAUAAUGACUCCUUUAUGCCUGAUGUACGAUGAUGUCCUAAUAUGGACACCGUAGCAGCAUGCUAUUUCCCAUAUUACAACUAUUGACUGAUGAACUCGUGCCUGAAGCUAUUCCAGCCAGAACCUUGGACACAACUUAUUCACUGAUCCACCCUGGUCUGAAGGAGCUCUGCACUACACCUCCCUGAACACAUAAAGAGACGACCAUUAAGUACGUGGAGGGGCGCUUGCACACUGCUGGAGCAGUGUUUGUGUGUAGAACUGUUUUUGUGUUUGAACUGUUUAUUCUGCCCUGUGUUAAUAAUAAAGUACCCAUAUAAGGGUUUGGACUA